rnacentral:rRNA from 1 species
AUUGAACGCUGGCGGCAGGCCUAACACAUGCAAGUCGAGCGGAUGAAGGGAGCUUGCUCCUGGAUUCAGCGGCGGACGGGUGAGUAAUGCCUAGGAAUCUGCCUGGUAGUGGGGGAUAACGUCCGGAAACGGGCGCUAAUACCGCAUACGUCCUGAGGGUGAAAGUGGGGGAUCUUCGGACCUCACGCUAUCAGAUGAGCCUAGGUCGGAUUAGCUAGUUGGUUGGGUAAAGGCCUACCAAGGCGACGAUCCGUAACUGGUCUGAGAGGAUGAUCAGUCACACUGGAACUGAGACACGGUCCAGACUCCUACGGGAGGCAGCAGUGGGGAAUAUUGGACAAUGGGCGAAAGCCUGAUCGAGCCAUGCCGCGUGUGUGAAGAAGGUCUUCGGAUUGUAAAGCACUUUAAGUUGGGAGGAAGGGAAGUAAGUUAAUAUCUUGCUGUUUUGACGGUACCAACAGAAUAAGCACCGGCUAACUUCGUG